UCUCUAGAUUCCGAUUCGCCCGCUGCUUCCUGCUUUCCCGUUGCGGCAUCGCCUCGCUGGCCACCAGGAGGAACCGCCCUCACACACGUGGGCAUUGGCCCUGCCUGCUCCGCGCGUCACCCGGCCGCCCUGACCUUGCUAGUGCUUGCCGGAGCCGGCGAGUCGCCCACGGGCCACGGCGCUCAGUCCACUCAGGCGCACAGAGAGGGAGAGAGAGGUUUGAAUCAACGCGAGAUUAACGGCAGUAAUCAUAGUGACGUGACAUCAUUUGUAGAGGGUUACUGUAGCUUAAUUAUGCGGACGUCACACAGAGGACCACCCUCCAACAUGCAGGUUUGUCCCUUCCUCUCCUCUCGGCACUAGGUGCAUGCAGCCCAUAAUUAAGGAAACGGUGAGGCAGGCGACCAUCGGGCUGCCGAGGUAAAUGACCGGCUACCUAUUUAUUCUCCUAUGCCAUGACUCUGUGCCUUGGACGACCAUCUGGCAGCUCUCAUGACCGCUCGUGAGAUUUGUUCAGCAUGUAUGUAGAUCACCACCAACAGGAUCAUGUGGUUCACCAUGCUCCGCAGUACCUCCAUGUCAUCUUUCUUGGAAGAAGUAAUCAGCAGAAUCACCAUCUUCCUGGAAAAUAGCAUCCACCAGAGGACCAUAACGGUGACGGGCGCGAGACGUAGGGUGAGUUCUACCACCAUGCCGCCGGCGGCAUCAACUAGCAUCGGCUGGAACACUGGCUAUACAAUGCGACAUUUGUGACCACUCGGGUGCCUACAACGGGAUUUAUCUUCCAUCUCAGUCCUAAAUGUUUUCGAUCUUAUUUGCAUUCCAGGAUUCACAUUAUUAUUUUGGUCAAUUUAAACAUAUAUUUGCCAUCUUACGCAUCCUGUUUUUUUAUCGUCUUUGAUUUUGCAUCAAUAGUUCAUUAUGUGGCUGCAGUUUUUGGGCAAGAGAUUUCAAUCAGUAGGCAUGAAGCUCAACGUUUGGGGGCAAGAGAUUCCAAUCGAGAGAACAGAAAACUCACCAGUUCAAAAUCUGGACCCCUUGGUUAUAACAAACACCAACUCCAGACAUUACAAGAAACUGAAGAAAUACAUACCAGUGCCUGAAGCCGAACGAUAAACAACGCUCCCUUGAGUUACAUGUCAAACAUGAGAUAUUGCGUGUAUGUCAAGGAGUUGCGCCAGUACAAGAUCAUCCCGUGGAGUAGUUAGUUAGCUAGAAUACUAUGUAAUCUUUAUCUUUCUUAUCUCUAGUAUUCUUUCUCUCCAAGAGAUGUAUCCCAACAACCUGUACGCGUAUUCGGGCUCGCA